rnacentral:rRNA from 1 species
GACGAACGCUGGCGGCGUGCUUAACACAUGCAAGUCGAACGGAAAGGCCCUGCUUUUGUGGGGUGCUCGAGUGGCGAACGGGUGCGUAACACGUGAGUAACCUGCCCUUGACUUUGGGAUAACUUCAGGAAACUGGGGCUAAUACCGGAUAGGAGCUCCUGCUGCAUGGUGGGGGUUGGAAGGUUUCGGCGGUUGGGGAUGGACUCGCGGCUUAUCAGCUUGUUGGUGGGGUAGUGGCUUACCAAGGCUUUGACGGGUAGCCGGCCUGAGAGGGUGACCGGCCACAUUGGGACUGAGAUACGGCCCAGACUCCUACGGGAGGCAGCAGUGGUGAAUAUUGCACAAUGGGCGGAGGCCUGAUGCAGCAACGCCGCGUGCGGGAUGACGGCCUUCGGGUUGUAAACCGCUUGCGCCUGUGACGAAGCGUGAGUGACGGUAAUGGGUAAAGAAGCACCGGCUAACUACGUG